GCAAACUUGGUCAUUUAGAGGAAGUAAAAGUCGUAACAAGGUUUCCGUAGGUGAACCUGCGGAAGGAUCAUUAUUAAAAGGCUUCGGCCAAAACUUGUGCACUGUUUUCUUUUUGGGUUGCUGCAGCGUUAAGCUGCCUCGUUUCAGAGCGGCGCCCAAAGUUUUUCCCAUUUACUGUUUCGAAUGUCAUAAAAUAAAACUGGAAAACUUUCAACAACGGAUCUCUUGGCUCUCGCAUCGAUGAAGAACGCAGC
rnacentral:misc_RNA from 1 species